UAAGCAUGGCAGUCGAACGAGAAGCGGGCUUCGGCCCGUGGACAGUGGCGGAAGGGCGAGUAACGCGAUCGAACGUACCCCGAGGUGGAGGACAGCUGUGGGAAACCGCAGGUAAUACUCCAUGAGCUCUACGGAGGAAAGGCUUCGGCCGCCUUGGGAGCGGCGAUCGUCCUAUCAGGUUGUUGGUGAGGUAACGGCUCACCAAGCCUAAGACGGGUAGCGGGUGUGAGAGCAUGACCCGCCGCAUCGGGACUGAGACACUGCCCGGACUCCUACGGGAGGCUGCAGCAACGAAUAUUCCGCAAUGCGCGAAAGCGUGACGGAGCAAUGCCGCGUGCAGGAUGAAGCGGCUUCGCCGUGUUAACUGCUGUCAGGGUAUAGGAAUACUGACCAUACCCAAAGGAAGGGCCGGCUAACCUCGUGCCAGCAGCCGCGGUAAGACGAGGGGCCCAAGCGUUAAUCGGAAUCACUGGGCUUAAAGGGUGCGUAGGCGGACCUGUAAGCGUUCUGUGAAAGCCCUCGGCUCAACCGAGGAACUGCGGAGCGAACUACAGGUCUUGAGGUAGGUAGAGGUCGUCGGAACGCUAGGUGGAGCGGUGAAAUGCGUAGAGAUCUAGCGGAACGCCAAAGGAGUAAUCAGGCGACUGGGCCUUACCUGACGCUGAGGCACGAAAGCGUGGGGAGCGGACGGGAUUAGAUACCCCGGUAGUCCACGCCCUAGACGAUGUGCACUAGAUUGGAGCGGCUCUGACGUCGUUUCAGUCGUAGAGAAAUCAUUAAGUGCACCGCCUGGGGGAGUAC
rnacentral:rRNA from 1 species